UCCGGGAUGCGACGGUGAUAACAGUAUAACACGACAAUAAACAUAAUAUUCUCGUCGUGUAUUGUCAUUACUCAUUGGUAUUUACAAUUUACACCACCUAUUGUUUUUUAUAAAUCGUUGCUUUGUUUUAAUUUGCUCUUCACGCUCUCGUUAAAACGCGAUGAACGGCCAUAAACCAGCAUAGUAAAUCAGUAGUGAACGAGGCACAGUGCUUGGCUUUUUUAUUUCGCUUUUCAAAAUGAUCAAGCCCAGCUUUCUGUGCGUUUUGGCCGUCCUGUGGUGCUCGACACCGUCGACUUGGUCGCAAUUUAACGACGUGGAAACCACCUGGCAUUGUCCUCAGUACUGGGUCCAGUACGGAAACUCCUGUUAUAAGUUUGUAAAAUCACCAUUCCGACCGAGAAGUGAAGCUCACAGAAACUGUCUAGCUUUUGGAGCUGAUUUAGCUAGUGUCAACAACUUAGAUGAACAUGGCUUUCUCAUAAAUCAACUCUUGCAACAAGACCCACAACAUAGACAGUGGUAUGUAGGUGGUAAACAAACAAGCCCCGGAGUGUGGGUAAAUGAUGUAGAAAACAAUAUUCCACUUAUUGAUAUUGAAAGUGCACUCUUACCUGAACAAUAUACUACAUUAAACAGAGAUUAUAUAGCAUACACGUAUUCAGUUCAAUUACAAAAAUGGGGAUUUGAAAAAGUUCCAGGAGACCGGUAUUUGCUUUAUAUUUGUGAAUUACCUCUUAAUAAACAACAUUUAAUAGUUGAAGAACGUUCCUAUAAGUAUGGCUAUAAUAUUGAUGAUCAGCAAAAAGUUCCCAGAGGUCCUUACUUUAUUAAGGAACCAACAGAUGUAGUAUUUGAUAGUUCUGGAUCAUCAAUUACCAACGAUGUAGCUCUAAGUUGUGUUGCUGGAGGGUAUCCAACACCAACAUAUGAGUGGUUCAAAGAAGAUUAUGAUAACCAAGAUCAAUUAUUAUCUAUAAAAAUUGAUCCACUAAGUAAUAUGAGAUUCACAUUAAGUGGUGGAACCCUUAUUAUUUAUGCUCCUAAGAGGGAUGAAGACAGAGGUCGAUAUCAUUGUAAAGCAUCAAAUAUGUUUGGUUCUGUAGUUUCUGAAAGCAUACAACUUUCGUUUGGAUUUAUCGGUGAAUUUAAUUUACAACGUCCUCUUGAACGUGGUAAUAAAAAUUGGGGUAAAACAAUAUUUUGUGAUCCUCCUCAAUAUUUCCCUGAGGUGAGAUAUUUUUGGGUCAGGGAAUCAUUUCCUAACAUGGUUCAAGAAGAUCGGAGAGUGUUUGUCUCAUUUGAUGGAUACUUGUAUUUUUCCUCUUUGGAAGAAAGUGACGCUGGAAACUACAGUUGUAAUGUGCAAAGCGAAGUUUCAAAAACCGGCAAGAAUGGGCCCUUGUUCCAGUUACACGUAGUGACACAUUCUGACUAUCAACAACUUAUACUACCCAACAACUUCCCUAAAGCUUUUCCAGAAGCACCUAUUGCUGGUCAAGAAGUUAGACUUGAAUGUGUUGCAUUUGCAUAUCCUGUACCUUCAUACAAUUGGACAAGAAAAGGUUCUCCGUUACCUAAAGGUUCUCAUUUGACAAGUUACAACCGUGUGUUGGUAAUUCCUGAAGUUCAAGUGGAAGAUCAAGGAGAAUAUAAUUGCCAUGUUUUUAAUGAUCGAGACAGUAAAGAGAAGAGUGUUACUCUAACAAUACAAGCCGAACCAAACUUCACAAUCCCACUGGAAGAUAAACACAUGGAUCACCUGUCAGAUUUGACAUGGACAUGUGAAGCUUUUGGCGUUCCAGAUGUAACAUAUAAGUGGUUUAAAAAUGGUGAACCACUAGAAAUUGAUCAGCUAUCACCAGAAGACCAAAAACGUUACAUGAUACAAGACAAUGUAUUGAGUAUUAAAUAUCUAGAACAUGCUAAAGAUUCAGGAAUGUAUCAAUGUCAAGCUCGUAAUACUUUAAAAACCCGUUUCUCAUCUGCACAAUUAAGAGUGCUAUCUUUACGUCCAUCAUUUAAAAAGAAACCUUUACAGCCUGAAAUAUAUGGUGCUGAAGGAAAAAAUGUAACAAUUGAAUGUAAUCCUGAAGCUGCACCUAGACCUAAAUUUACAUGGAAAAAAGAUGGAUAUAUAAUAGGGUCUGGGGGUAGGCGUCGCAUAUUAGAAAAUGGAAAUUUGAUUAUUAAUCCAAUUGGAAGAGAUGAUGAAGGUAUGUACAUAUGUAUUGCUGAAAAUAUUUUUGGAACCGAAGAAAGUCAUGGAAAACUUAUUGUUAUGCGUGGCCCUGUAUUUAUUGAACAAUUAAAUCCCCAAAUUAGAUCGAUUAUUAAACAUGAUUUACUAUUACGAUGCCAAGCUGUUUCUGAUGAACUCUUAGACAUUGCAUAUGUCUGGACCCACAACAAUAUGCCAUUGCUUAAUUCUAAUUCUGAACUCGUUGGACAUGUUAGCAUAAAUGGUGGGGAGUUGUACAUUCGUAACAUGACAUUGGAAGAUUCUGGUGAAUACAAAUGUUUUGUGCACAGUGUAGUUGGAGAGAUAUCGUCAACAACUACUUUAUUUGUUGAUGGACCUCCUGGACCUCCAGGUGGAAUACAAGUUGAAGUCUUAAAGACAUCUGCCAAACUGCAAUGGACUGACGGUUCUGCAAAUGGACGUCAAACUAUACAUUAUAAUGUAAUGGCCCGUUCACAAUGGAACAGUACUUGGUAUACAAUGGCCUCAGAUAUUGUAAUCAAGGAAGUUGAUAGGUAUAAUGGGCGUAAAGAAGCAUUUUUAGAAAAUGUUCUACAACCCUGGUCCAAGUAUGAAUUUAGAAUGAUAGCAGGAAAUGAUAUUGGAUAUGGUGAAAUAUCUCUUCCUUCUCCUCAAGUUAACACACCAGCUGAUCAUCCAUAUAAAGCACCUUCAAAUAUUACUGGUGGUGGUGGCAAAAUUGGUGAUUUAACAAUUGUGUGGAAACCUCUAUCUUCUCAAGAUCAAAACGGACCAGGUAUCUAUUACAAAGUAUAUUGGAGACGUAUGGGUCAUGAAACAGACUUUCAGUAUGAGACAUUGCAAGAUAGUGGUAAUAUUGGAAUGGCAGUAGUGCACAUUAAGUCAGAAUUUUAUUACACUGAAUAUGAAGUCAAAGUUCAACCCUUUAAUUCAAUCGGUCCUGGUCCUAUAUCAGAUCCUAAAGUGAUAUACAGUGCAGAAGAUAUGCCACAAGUAUCUCCACAACAAGUGUUUGCUAUUUCUUACAAUUCAACUGCCAUUAAUGUAAGUUGGGUACCAAUUGAUCAAUCACGGGAAAUGUUGCGUGGUAAACUAAUCGGCCACAGAUUAAAGUAUUGGAAAAAAGAUGCAAAUGACAGAGAAGAAGAUGCUGUAUACUAUUUAAGUAGAUCUGUUAAACCUUGGGCCCUUAUUGUUGGAUUGCAACCAGAUACAGAAUAUUAUGUAAAAGUAAUGGCUUUCAAUUCAGCUGGAGAAGGUCCGGAGAGUGAACGAUUUAUUGAACGAACAUACAGAAAAGCACCUCAAAAGCCACCAUCAUCUGUUCUAAUUAAUGGCUUAAAUCCAGAUACUAUACAAGUAACCUGGCGAUAUGUACAACCAACACUUGAAGAAGAACCAAUCAAAGGCUAUAAGGUGCGGGUUUGGGAAUCCGAUCAAGAUAUGAGUACUGCAAAUGAUACAAUUAUUGAAAUUGGGAGCAAAUUAGAAGCCCAAAUUACUAAGUUAACACCUGGCAAAGUGUACAAACUUCGAGUGUUAGCAUACUCUAAUGGCGGAGAUGGACGGAUGUCAUCACCUGCUAAAACUUUCCAAAUGGGAAGUUUUACUUAAUAGCGAAAGUAAGUUACUUAUGUGUGUAGCAUAUUAUAUAAAUAAAUAAAAAUAUUUAUGUAUGUAUGCUGAACAAUACAAGCUUACUCUUCUAUUUAUCACAAUAUGUAGUCCAGAGCUGUUCUUAACCAACACUGCCAGCAAAAACUCGGCAGUCUGUCUGUCGUUCGUGUUGCUAUUGAGGUUGUACGGUAUCAUUUAGAAAUUAUAGAUCUAAUAUUAACGCGCACGCGCACUUGUAAUAAUCUCAAUUAUUAUAUUUUUCAAACACAUUUUUUACAAUUUUACAUUUUCUACAUUUUAAACGUAUAGUUUUAAGUUAAUAACCAUGAUUCGUCUCGAAUGUUUGAUCAAUUUUUUUAUGAUUAUGGUCAAUAUAUCAUGAUGGAUUAUUAUAUAUAUUUAUAAGAAUAUAAACCAAAUUAUGGUAAACUCAAUGCAAGUAAAAUAUCAAAAUAUGUAUGUUUUGGGUUAAUGUAGUAAGCCGCAUUAUAUACAGAAGCAGUGCCUUGGAAUAUUAUUAAUAAUAUAAUUAAUAUAUAAUAAUUUAUUAAAUAUUUUUAUUAUAAUAUGAAUGAAUCAAAAACUCUCGUCUGUGUUCAAAAUAUAAAUGACAGCCAUUAUUUAAUAUAGCAUAAUUGUGAUUUCUUACUAAUUUACUAUUCUGUAGCAAUAAGUGAGGUGUUUAAUAUAAAUACUACAAAACGUAAGUGUAAGAAUAGUUUUCAAAGUUGUAAAAAUGCUUGUUUUAAAUGUAUCAAGUGUAAGCUAUAAACACAUGCGAUCACACAAAAUAAUACUAAUAAUAAUGAUAAGUGUCCAUACCUACAAAUUGUUUUCAGAUAAUGAAUUUCGAGCAAAAAAUAUUGCUAUUAAUUAUGUUUGAACAAAAUCGGAAUAAGUUUAUUAUAUAAUACAAAUCUACAAUCGACUUAUGAAAUACUUACCUAAAAAAACACUCAUUCAUAUAUACAUAACUUAUUAUAUUUAUACAUUUUGAUUUAUAAUUAAUUAUCAUCUAGGAUGCAUAAAAAUGGAUUAAUUUUCAUAAUGGGAAUUUUUUUCCAAAUACCUCAGACAAUACGUAGGAACCGCGAAAAAAAUAUUUAAACGUGAAUUCGCUAUAUAAAUAUAUAUAUAAUUAUAAUAAACAUAAUAAUAUAAUCCGUCCACUCAAACACCUUGCAACAUUGAUAUAUUUUCAUAAUGUAUAUUGUUUUAUUUUUGUACUUGCGUUUACGAAUUGUAACUUAGUUCUCGCUAUUUUAUUCUUAUAGAUAUUUAAUAUCCUUUAUAUUAAUUGCUUAUAUUAUAUAUUUUUUAUAAUUAUUUUUCCAUGUAUACAAUAUGUACUAGAAACUAUGCAAUAUGCAUUUAUAAUUUAAGUGAAUCUGUACCGUCCAUAUUAUACAACCUAUCUAGUGAUAUUUUAUUAGUGCACAGUAAUGACGUAUCUAUUUAAGUUGUCGUUUAUAUUAUAUUUAUAACUAAUAUGGAUAAACAUUGUUAUGUAGCACAUAGAACAACAAUAAUAUUAACUAUAUACCUUUUAUAUUUAUUAUAUACUUAUGAAACUUUGUGACUUUAUUGGCAAUAUUUAACGUCCACUUAUUUUUUGUUUAGAGUUUUACUACAUUAUAAUAUUAAAGUAUUUACAAUAUAAA